CUUCCAGUAGCACCUUAGAGACCACCUAGGUUUGAUAUUGGUAUGAGCUUUCAUGUGCAUGCACACUUCUUCAGAUAUUUCUUCAGAUUCUUCAGUGUGCAUGCACACGAAAGCUCAUACCAAUAACAAACUUAGUAGGUCUCUAAGGUGCUACUGGAAG